rnacentral:lncRNA from 1 species
CUUUUUUUUUUUUUUUUUGCCAUUUCUUGGGCCGCGCCCGCGGCAUAUGGAGGUUCCCAGGCUAGGGGUCUCAUCGGAGCUGUAGCCGCCAGCCUACGCCACAGUCACAGCAAUGCGGGAUCCGAGCCGCAUCUGCAACCUACACCACAGCUCACGGCAACGCCGGAUCCUUAACCCACUGAGCAAGGCCAGGGAUCGAACCGCAACCUCAUGGUUCCUAGUCAGAUUCGUUAACCACUGCGCCACGACGGGAACUCCUACCUGGUCUUAUUGAUCAUUUUCUUCUUUUUUUGUGUGUGCUGUGAGAACACUUAAGAUCUACCCUCUUAGCCCCUGUCAAGUAUACAAGACAGUAUAUUUACCUGUAGUCUCCAUGCCGUGUAUAGAUCUCCAGAAUUUACUCACCUUGCCUACCUGAACGUUUGUAUCCUUUUUACUUUUUAUUUUUAUUUUUAAAGUUGUAUUGGCGUUUAGUUGGCUUAACAAAUGUCGUGUUAGCUUUGGACGUACAGCAAAAGGAAUCAGUCAUCCAUACAGAUAUAUCCAUUCUUUUUUCCCCAUAUAGGUUAUCGAAAACUAUUGAGUAGAUUUUCCUGUGCUACGCAGUAGGUUCUCGUUCAUCAUCUAUUUUAUACCAUAGUGUCGUUACUUCUCUUUUUGGUUAUGUUGUUACAGCACCUGGACAAACAUUGAAAAAGUAGUGGACAUGUUAUAUUGAGGUUCAUGAUCAAAUACACCCUUAUAGCUUUUCUCAAAAGAGUCUUUCUAUUUCAGACAGCAACCAGGAAAGUAAGUCCUGGAAUGUUGCUUUUUUACAACUAUUCAGUAACCAAGUAGCCUUUUGAAGUAUUUUAUAUAUGCGUUUUAACUUGUCCCAGGGUAUUAAUUAUACAUAGCAGGAGCUAUUGGUCUCUGUUUUUUUCUUUUCUUUCUUUUUUUUUUUUAAUGCCAAACUAUAAUGUAAGGCAGCUUUAUUAGCUAAUAUUCUUCUGGCGGAAAAAUCUGGUGUCUUUUGCUGGGAGGCUAUGGCUUGAGCUGUUUCAUGGCUGUAUCUAAAGUGGGAUAUGAGGAAACCUUGAAGCCGUAAAGUUGCAGCUUGCAGCUGUUAACAGCUGCUGUUUUUGAGAACAGUUGGUGGUGCCCUUCCAUCUAAUAAAAUUUUGAAAAUGCCAGUUCUUGGUAAGAGAGGAAUGUGUCUGAACCCACAGUGGCCACCUACUUGAUUUCGAAUGUCAGAACCACAAUUACUCUAUUCUGAUUUUCUUCAUGCGUUUCUCCUUAAUGGCAAAAGCAGAUGUACAGCGCAGGUUUCAGAGGCCACAAACAGGCUGUUUCAGUUAGCUUAAAGCUCAAAUUAAAUCAUGUAUGAGCCGGAAGGACUCCCCCAUACCUUAGCAUGAGAAAAUUUCCAUGUUAUCAUACACAGUUGUCACAUUAGCACUGUACACAGGCGUUCAGCAAUAGACUUAAAAAUACAGCGGGCACUGGCAUAUCUCAGGAGCAGUCAUACACUGUGAAAAAUCCCUUAGAAAAUGAUUUUCUGGAGUUCCUGAUGUGGCGCAGCAGGUCAGGGGCCCAGUGUUAUCUCUGUGAGGAUGCAGGUUCAACCCCUGGCCUUGCCCAAUUCAGUUUUCGGCAUUUGCCGCCAGCUGCGAUCUGCCCCUCAGCUGCUGCUCCAGUUCAGCCCCUAGCCUGGGAACUUCCAUAUGUUGCAGAUGCUACCAUUAAAAAACAAACAAACAAACGAAAAACAAGUAAAUGAUCUUCCUCUCCUAAACACUCUGGGCAACAGCAUGAUUAGAAGUCAAACAGUAAUUUUCAGUUUUGACACGGAGACAGACCUUUGGUACAUGGUCCAAUUAAAGUAGCCACACAAGCCUGGUCCGCGUUCUUGGGUCUCCUGCCUGCCACCGGCGUUGUUUUCUUCCCAUCCUGGUGUAAACGUUGUUUGGGGUCAGCAGUCCUUUCUAUGGACCAGUCUGUAGAAGAGCAAAGGCUCUUCUCAAGGGAGGAGUAAGUACUUAAGAGUUAAUUACCUUCAAUUUCUUGGUGCAUGAUGUACUUUACCUGGUAAGGAGUUCCCUGGUGGCCUAGCAGUUAAGGAGCUGGUGUUGUCAUGGCUGUGGUUCUAGUCACUGCUGUCCCUGGCCUAAACUUCUAUAUGCCAUGGGUGCAGCCAAAAAAAAAAAAAAAAAAAGAAUGCCUGAUAAGUGGCCUUUCAUCUACAUUGGGGAGACAGUUCUUUAAAUGAUGCUUUUUCCAGUAUGUAUAAUCUGCUAGUUAUAGAUCAUGGGGCAUCUGAUCUUUAUCCAAAGGUAGAUUACAGUGAUCAGCUUCAGAACAGGCUGAGAGGAGUUCCCUGGUGGCCUAGUGGGUUUAGGAUCAGGCAUUGUCACUUCUGUGGCUCAGCUUUUUUUUUUUUUUGCUUUUUAGGGCUGCACCCACGGCAUAUGGAGGUUCCCAGGCUGGAGGUUGAAUCGGAGCUACAGCUGCCAGUCUACACCACAGCCACAGCAACAUAAGAUCCGACAACAUAAGAUCCGAGCCACAUCCGUGACCUACACCACAGCUCAUGGCAACGCCGGAUCCUUAACCAACUGAGCGAAGCCAGGGAUCGAACCUGCAACCUCAUGGAUCCUAGUCGGGUUUGUCAACUGCUGAGCCAUAAAGGGAACUCCUGUGGUGCAGCUUUGAUUCCUGGCCUGGAAGCUUCUGCAUGUGCCCUGAGUACAGCCUAAAUAAAUGAAUAAAUAAAAGGAAGCAAGCUUAGAAUAUCUCCUUUUGUUUGUUUGUUUGUUUGUUUGUUUUUGUCUUUUGUCUUUUGUCUUUGAGGGCUGCACUCUGGUUAUAUGGAGGUUCCCAGGCUAUGGGUCUAAUUGGAGCUGUUGCUGCUAACCUACGCCAGAGCCACAGCAACGCCAGAUCCAAGCGGCAUCUGCGACCUACACUACACCACACACAGCUCAUGGCAAUGCCGGAUCCUUAACCCACUGAGUGAGGCCAGGGAUCGAACCUGCACUUCAUGGUUCCUAGUCGGAUUCGUUUCUGCUGUGCCAUUCCGGGAACUCCUAGAAUAUCUUUUAAUAACUCAGUUAAACUUUACAAUAAUGUACCAUAGCAGCAAAGACCUAUUUGGGGAUAGGAGUUUUAGACAGUAAGUACUGAUCUCUAUGAACAAAACUGGAAUUUAACAUCUGUUGAAAUGUAAUCUUUUUCUCUCCAAAAUUAUCCUCAUUUUUACCAAAUAUGGCCAAAUUAAUGUGUUUGCAAAAUAAGUCUGGUUAAUUGAUCACAUCGGCUUUUUUAAUUGGUUGCUUUGGAACUUUUCAUAAGGAAUCUCAGACUGCACUUUGUUUUUCUUUUUAGGACCAUACUUGGGGCAUGCAGAAGUUCCCAGGUUAGGGGUCAAUUCAGAGCUGCGGCUGCCGGCCAACACCACAGCCACAGCAAAACAGGAUCCAAGCCACACCUGCAGCCUAUACCACAGCUCAUGGCAAUUCUGUAUCCUUAACUCACUGAGUGAGGCCAGGGAUCAAACCUGCAUCCUCGUGGAUACUAGUCAGAUUCUUAGCCCACUGAGCCAACUGAGCCACAGUGGGAACUCCCAGACUGAACUUUUAUUUAUUUAUUUAUUUAUUUAUUUAUUUAUUUUUGCUUUUUAGGGCCGCACCCGCGGCAUAUGGAGGUUCCCGGGCUAGGGGUCGAAUCGGAGCUGUAGCCACCGGCCUACGCCAGAGCCACAGCAACGUGGGAUCCGAGCCGCGUCUGCAGCCUACACCACAGCUCACGGCAACGCCGGAUCAUUAACCCACUGAGCAAGGGCAGGGACUGAACCCGCAACCUCAUGGUUCCUAGUCGAAUUCGUUAACCACUGUGCCACGACGGGAACUCCUGAAUCAAAUAUUUUAAUGUAAAACAUUAGUUUAUACAUUUUGUUGUAUUUCCCCUCUUUAUCGUAAAACAGCUCUAAUUGUAUGAUUGUUGCAUAGGUUUUGUUUUGAUUCUUUUUCUUUUCUUUUUUUAAAUUUUUUUUCUUUUUUGUGGUCACCCCAUAGCAUAUGGAGUUCCCCACCCAGGGAUCAGAUCUGAGGUGCAGUUGUGACCCACGAGGCAGCAACACCGGAUCCUCCGGCCUAUUUUGUUGGGACUGGGGAUUGAACCUGCACCCUGGCGCGGCAGAGAUGCUGCUGGUCCUGCUGCACCACAGUGGGAACCCCUGGUUCUUUGUUUUUGUUUUCGUUUUUCUUUUUAUAGCAUCACCUGCAGCACAUGCAAGUUCCCGGGCUAGGGGUUGAAUUGGAUCUGCAGCUGCAGGCCUGCGCCACAGCCACAGCCACGCCAGCCAUGAGCUGCAUCUGCCACCUACCCCAUAGCUUGAAGCAAUGUCAGAUCCUUAACCACUGAGCGAGGCCAGGGAUCGAACCUGUGUCCUCAUGGAUCCUAGUCAGAUAUGUUAACCACUGAGCCACAACGGGAACUGCAUCCUCACCUUUUUCAAACAAGGAUCCCUCUUUUCUUUUUUUUUUUUUUUUUUUUUUUUUUUUUUGUCUUUUUGCCAUUUCUUGGGCUGCUCCCCGAAGCAUAUGGAGGUUCCCAGGCUAGGGUCGAAUCGGAGCUGUAGCCACUGGCUUACACCAGAGCCACAGCAACUUGGGAUCCAAGCUGUGUCUGCAACCUAAACCACAGCUCACAGCAACGCCAGAUCCUUAACCCACUGAACAAGGCCAGGGAUCGAACCUGCAACCUCAUGGUUCCUAGUGGGAUUUGUUAACCACUGAGCCACGAUGGGAACUCCAAGGAUCCCUCUUUUAAUAAGAAACAACAGGCAGAUGGAAGGAUAGGGAAUCGUAGCCUCAUGUGUCACUGUGUCAUGACAGUUUACCUGGCAUGUGCAAAAUUGAAAAAUAACAGUUUGAAUAAGUUAAAUUUACUUACUCGAGUAUUUAAAAAAAAGCCUCUUUCCCCCCCUUUACCCCUCUGCUUUGAAGUUCCAUUAAUUAACCAAAGCCGAAGUCUUAGGCAGAGUGGAUUGUGUUUGUAUUUCAGGUACACGAUAAGAAUUAACUUCCGGCUUUCUCCUAGGAAUAUUUUUGUUCUCUCAAGGUCAGAAUUCUGAAAAAAGUAUUUUAGCAAGCCAGCUUUCUCUACCUGCAUAUGCAAAAUGAGCCAAUUCUGGAAUUUCAAGAGUUUCAUCUUAGCCAGUUUUCUUCAGAGUCUAAAGAAUAUUGUGGCCACACAGUAUUAAAUCAUUUUUUCCCCUUUAGUCAUAGGUUCACAGCUAUAAUCAACAUUUCUCUACAGUGUGCCCCAAGGGGCACAUUCCCCAUCCACAAAGACAAGAAAAACAAAACACAGAUGACACCUCCAAAGAAACCAAAUGCUAGCAUCCAAAGAAACCAAGAAUUGGAGUUUCCUAAUGGCUCAGCAGGUUAAAGACCUUGCAUUGGAGUUUUUGUUGUGGUUCAGUGGGUUAAGAACCCAGCUAGCAUCCAUGAGGAUGCAGAUUCAGUCCCUGGCCUUGCUCAGUGGGCUAAGGAUCCAGUGUUGCCUCGAGCUGCGGUACAGGUGACAGAUGUGGCUGGGAUCUGGCGAGGCUGUGGCUGCUGUGUAGGCUGGCAGCUGUAGCUCCGACUCAGCCACUAGCCUGGGAACUUCCAUAUGCUGCAGUGUGGCCCUCAAAAGACACAAAGAGAAAGGAAAAAAAAAAGAAAAAAAAAAAAAA